rnacentral:tRNA from 1 species
GUUCCCGUAGCUCAGUUGGAUAGAGCAUCGCCCUCCUAAGGCGGUUGUCGGAAGUUCAAAUCUUCUCGGGAACGCCA